AGAAUCAACGCUGGCGGCGUGCCUAACACAUGCAAGUCGCACGAGAAAGGGACUUCGGUCCUGAGUACAGUGGCGCACGGGUGAGUAACACGUGAAUAAUCUACCUCCGAGUGGGGAAUAACUGAGAGAAAUCUUAGCUAAUACCGCAUAACACUUACGAGUCAAAGCAGCAAUGCGCUUGGAGAGGAGUUCGCGGCAGAUUAGUUAGUUGGCGGGGUAAUGGCCCACCAAGACGAUGAUCUGUAUCCGGCCUGAGAGGGCGCACGGACACACUGGAACUGAAACACGGUCCAGACUCCUACGGGAGGCAGCAGUGGGGAAUUUUGCGCAAUGGGGGAAACCCUGACGCAGCAACGCCGCGUGGAGGAUGAAAUCCCUUGGGAUGUAAACUCCUUUCGAUCGGGAAGAUAAUGACGGUACCGAGAGAAGAAGCCCCGGCUAACUUCGCGCCAGCAGCCGC
rnacentral:rRNA from 1 species